UACGUAGGGUGCGAGCGUUAAUCGGAAUUACUGGGCGUAAAGCGUGCGCAGGCGGUUCGUAAAGUCUGAUGUGAAAGCCCCGGGCUCAACCUGGGAACUGCAUUGGAAACUAGCGAGCUUGAGUGUGGCAGAGGGGGGUGGAAUUCCACGUGUAGCAGUGAAAUGCGUAGAGAUCGGGAGGAACACCAGAGGCGAAGGCGGCGACCUGGACAGAUACUGACACUCAACUACGAAAGCGUGGGGAGCAAACAGG
rnacentral:rRNA from 1 species